AUAUAUAUAUAUAUAUAUAUUGAAUGUCAAAUACAUUGUUUCUAUAAAAUUUAAUUUUUAUAUAUUUUUUCUAUAAAAGUUCUGAUAUUUUAAAAUAUGUCAUGCCGUUAGAAUUUGUUAAAAAAAUUUAGUCAACCAUAGGUUAAAUAUUUAAUUCUGGUUAAUUUUUAAUAUUUUUAUCCCUAUAUUAUAGGGUUAUGAUUUUUGAAGGGACAUAUUUGCCAUGACAAAAUUGAAAAUAUGAAUAUUUCUCUAAUAGUUCUUUAAUGGUAACAAAUAGAGAGACAUAUUUGAAAGUAUCAGAACUUUUAUAGGUAUAACAUAUAAAAAUUAAAUUUUAUAGAAAUAUAUUUAUCAUUACUAUAUUUAUAGGGACCUAUAUGAAAUUAACUCUAAUGAUAAAAUCAGACUGUAUGUUAAAAAUAUAUAAAAUUUUAAAAUUUAUUUUCUAAGCAUCAAAUAGACUAAAAAUUUUAUAAUAAAGAAAAAAAACUACUGCCCAGUUUCUAAAAAUAUAUAUUUAAAAUUUAAGAUUUUUAAAUCUACAGUACUUUGAAUAUU
rnacentral:lncRNA from 1 species